rnacentral:lncRNA from 10 species
GGGAGCUUAGAUGUGGAAGCUCUUUGGAAACCAAGAAACACUCUGAAAAUGAAAAGGGUGGAAGAGUAAACUGUUCCUGUUUCUCCAUCUUGACAGGAAGCAGAAGUUCUCCUUAGCUGAUUUUUCUUCUUGCCUUAUACUGGGUUCUUUAACACCAGAACAAAAAUAAAUAAAUAAAAGAAUCUUCCAGAAAUUCAUGAAGAGACUUCAGGUCAGGAAAGCCUGAACUUUCUCAUCCAACACCCGUUCAAGUCGGAGGAUGCUGAUUAAUUCAUGAUGGAAAGGUAUCAAUUUCACAGCCCAGACCUCUACAUUCUUGAAAUGCUCUUCUCAUGGGAGACAUUAAAUAAGCUUUGAAUUAACUUAAGCCCUUAAGUAAAAGUGCCAUCAAAUGAUUUCUCAGAAAUUAUAAAGAAACAAAAGGACCAUAAACAAGAUAAGGUGGCAUGAGGAAACAUUACAAGUACCUUUCAGAGCUGACUGGCAAAGAAACUCCUGAGGUGACGGUUCUACCCCAAUAUUACUUCUUCGAAGAGCAACCUAACUGGACUUAUCUUCCUCAGUUCUCUGUGAUGAACUUUUGUAGAGCCAUACGAAAGGAGGUUUUUAGCUCUCACCUGUGGUCUUUCUUCAUCAUGCACCUCCUAGAUUCAAAAGUUCAGCAGGGACAUGUCAAGCUAUAUAAAUAAAAACAAACUAAGAAAAAAUGUAACAUUCCAUACCUUAAAACGCAACCUUAAUAACGUGAAAGACCCUGAAGGACUUGAGACGUGAAGAUUUUCUACCACGGUCUUUGCCUGUAUUAUUUCUGACAGCUGUUCCUUUCUACUCCCUCUUGCACACAUCUUUAGUUACUCCCUGUUCUCCAUCCCUCUGAU